rnacentral:rRNA from 1 species
GACGAACGCUGGCGGCGUGCUUAACACAUGCAAGUCGAACGGAAAGGCCCUGCUUUUGUGGGCUGCUCGAGUGUCGAACGGGUGAGUAACACGUGAGCAACCUGCCCUUCACUUUGGGAUAACUUCCGGUAACUGGGGCUAAUACCGGAUAUGAGCUCCUGCUGCAUGGUGGGCGUUGGAACGUUUCGGCUGUUGGGGUUGGACUCGCGGCUUAUCAGCUUGUUGGUGGGGUAGUGGCUUACCAAGGCUUUGACGGGUAGCCGGCAUGAGAGGGGGACCGGCGACAUUGAGACUAAGAGACGGACCAGAUGGCGACGGGAGACAACGGGGGGAAAUAUUGCGCAGUGGGCGGGAGCGUGGUGGAACGAAGUCGGGGGCGGGAAGACGGCCGUGGGGUUGUGAACCGCUUUGGGCUGUGACGAAGCAUGAGUGACGGUAAUGGGUGAAGAAGCACAGGCUAACUACGUG